UACGGGGGGGGGCAAGCGUUGUUCGGAAUUACUGGGCGUAAAGGGCUCGUAGGCGGCCAACUAAGUCGGAUGUGAAAUCCCCAAGCUUAACUUGGGAACUGCAUCCGAUACUGGAUGGCUUGAAUCCGGGAGAGGGAUGCAGAAUUCCAGGUGUAGCGGUGAAAUGCGUAGAUAUCUGGAGGAAUACCGGUGGCGAAGGCGGCAUCCUGGACCGGCAUUGACGCUGAGGAGCGAAAGCUAGGGGGAGCAAACGGG
rnacentral:rRNA from 1 species